rnacentral:sRNA from 1 species
CUAUUUGGACAGAGCUAACUUGUAGUUGGUGUGGGGAGUGCAAACUUUGCAAAGAAUUUGGUUCUUUUCUGGUGGUCUUAGCCUGAGGAUGUCAAGUGUGAGCCUAGAGGGUGACGUUUCCUCUCCUGGCUCCUUACCACCUGCCGUGAAGAUGAUCUACUCUGGCCUUUCUCUGUGGAAAAUGGCUGCAAAAUAAUGAAACAGGCUGUCACGGAAUUUUCUCCUCCUCUUUCUCCAGGGGUGUUGAAAUAGUCACUUCCUACAGCGAUGCGGAAACAUCUUGGGCUUUGGGGUCACACUUCCCCUGAGUUCAGAGCCUUCAUAGAUGUGUGGCAGGCUUCUUAGCUGAGUGACCUUGGGCAAGUUACUCUUAGUCUCUUCGUGCUUGACUUUCCUCGUCUAUAAGACGGGGUGAUGAUCCCGACCUUGCCAGUGGUAGAAAGCAGAGCAGCCGCGGGCCUCAUGCAAUGUGCAUGGUGCCUGGCAGCUGGUCGGUGCUCAGCACACAGAGCUGUGACGGGCCUCAUGCAAUGUGCAUGGUGCCUGGCAGCUGGUCGGUGCUCAGCACACAGAGCUGUGACGGGCCUCAUGCAAUGUGCAUGGUGCCUGGCAGCUGGUCGGUGCUCAGCACACAGAGCUGUGGCUGCCCCUGGUGCUGUUCCAGGGAUGCUGUAUUUUUAGGAUUUGCCAGCUUACGAGCCUCUCAAGCAUCAUCCCUUAGAAGUCAGCCUCGUUGUGGAUCCUCAGUUGUAUCACGUACCUCCCUCAUCAGAAUGGGCUCAUAAUAAUUUUUUGUGUUUCAUAAAGUCAGAUCCUCAGAGGACCGUAAUUGUCAAGGUUGAGUACUCAUAAAAAGGCUGCAGGCUCUGACAGCCUUAUCAGAAGCCACAGUCUCAGAGACACUGGGGACACAUGCCCGCCACUGAUGGAAUAGCCCGCUGAGGUUGAUACUUUGAAGGCAGCAACCUUGUUUUGGAUGUGUAGUCUUGGGGAUUUCCUUAAAAACAUAAAGUUCUUUACAUCACAGCCAUACGUUAGGUUUUAGUUUUCAUUUGCCUUGCCAGAGCUGUCCUUAUAAAAAUAACUUCUUCCCAUGUGUGCACAGAACUAUGUUGUGCUUCUGGACUCCACACUCCCCAGAUCCCAGUAUGACUACAUCUUGCCUCAAGUUUCUUUCACCGCAGUGGGCUACCAUAAACACAUCACCUUGAUUUUUAAUCCCACGAGGAAGCUGCCUGAACAGGACAUCGCACAAGGAUCCUACAUUGCCCUGCCAUUGACGCUGCUGGUUCUGCUGGCCGGUUACAACCAUGACAAGCUCAUUCCUUUGCUGCUGCAGUUGACAAGCCGGCUACAGGGAGUCCGCGCGCUCGGCCAGGCAGCCUCUGACAAUAGCGGCCCAGAAGAUGCAAAGAGACAAGCCAAGAAACAGAAGACAAGGCGGACGUGAGGAGGAAGGGGACAGUUGGAGUCUCACUUGGGACAGGCCACAGCCAGGGGUCUGGCCACCACCCGCCCGUGGGAUAAAAGCCAAAAGCAUGCGUCAGCUAACUUCAGCCUGUGCUGCUGGGCCCGCACCCCAUGUCCCUUGUCACUGUGGCAUCCUGCACCCAUCCUCACCCCUCCGUAGAGCCCGUCGUGCAAUGCAGUGAAUGGACCCUCCUGUCACUCUGCUGAACAGAAUUUAUUUUCUGAGUCAAAUAUAAUUUAUUAUUAUUUUUGUCAAAGAAGUAUUUAAGCUGUGCUGUGGUGUGAGAAUGUCAUUCUUGAUCUUCAGCCUUCAUUUGCAAGAAGAGUUCCAGUUGACGUGGUGUUUGGUUCCAUGGCGGGGUACCCUAGGGAUUCAUCUGUUUUCUUCACUUCCCUUUGCAUCUGAGAUCCUGCUGGAAACCACAGCAACCUCUAUCCACUAUUAGGAGGUAAAAAUCAAUAAAAUGGCCCAUUCAUUUGUGUUGUAGCUC